ACUGAAUCUCCGCCCACUCUCUGCCUGAUCGCUGCCGAGUGAAAGAGAUCUUUGGUUUUGCCUUUGCUGACUGCUGAUGUGAUCGUCUCAAGUCUGGUGACCUGCUGCAGAAAACCCUCUCCCUCUAUCAUUAUCAAGCAAUUCUGUCUAUCCUAUCACUCUCCCAACUCUAUCUAAUUUGACAGCCAUUCCAUCUUGUAUCCCUCUAUCUCUACUGCUCUAUCUAAUUUGACAGCCAUUCUAUCUUGUAUCAAUCUAUCCCAAGCACUCUAUCUAAUUUGACAGCCAUUCUAUCUUGUAUCAAUCUAUCCCAAGGACUCUAUCUCGUUUUCAGAAAUCCCAGUUUUCAGAAAUCCCAGUCUUCAGAAAUCUAAGUCUUCAGAAAUCCCAGUUUUCAGAAAUCCCAGUUUCAGAAAUCCAGUUUUGAAAAAUCCAAGUUUUGAAAAAUCCAAGUUUUGAAAAUCCAAGUUUUGAGAAAUCCAAGUUUUUGGCAAUUGAAGUUACCAGAACUUUGUCAAUCUGUAUUCAGAAUUCUGAGAGAUCUCUGCUCUCACUGCUCCUCCUUUCCUGUCAUUAAACUCUCUCUCCAUUCAUUUUGCUGGAAAAUAACAAUUAGAAAGUUGAAUAUACAGUAGUAGAAUUGCAGUACAGUAGAACUUAUGGUAGAAACUACUUAUACAGCCCUACAUUUGUAGUUUUAACUUGGCAUUACACUUUGAAAUAAACACUGAUAGUUUGGCUUACAAGUGCAAUUUGAUAAAUUAUAUAAACUUAUAUACAUCUUUUUUGAGAUAUAUUUGUAGUAAGAUAAUCUGGUUAUUUUGUAAUUCAGACUGUUAUAUUCACAUAAAUAUUAAAUUUGAUUCAAAUACA